GUCGUAACAAGGUUUCCGUAGGUGAACCUGCGGAAGGAUCAUUACCCAACAGCCCUUCGGGGUCUGCUAUCAACCCUUGACUAUGAGUACCAAAAUAUACGUCCCUCGGCGGGGUGCACACCGCCCAUGGGCCUUUUGAAAACACCUUUUGCAGUAUGCUAGUAUCUUCUGAUUCUGUGGGCAUGAAUUUUUUACAACUUUCAACAAUGGAUCUCUUGGCUCUGGCAUCGAUGAAGAACGCAGCGAAAUGCGAUAAGUAGUGUGAAUUGCAGAAUUCAGUGAAUCAUCGAAUCUUUGAACGCACAUUGCGCCCCUUGGUAUUCCAUGGGGCAUGCCUGUUCGAGCGUCAUUGACACCCUCAAGCUCUGCUUGGUGUUGGGCGUCUGUCCCUGCGGGGACUCGCCCCAAAGUCAUUGGCAGCCUCUGCCCGCUUCCCGCGCAGCACUGUCGCGCUUUUGGGAGGACCUACGGGUGGACUGGCGUCCAGCAAGCUCUUUUUAUUUCAACCAGCUUGACCUCGAAUCAGGUAGGGAUACCCGCUGAACUUAAGCAUAUCAAUAA
rnacentral:misc_RNA from 1 species